rnacentral:lncRNA from 1 species
GUCCCUGCACCCGGCCUCUUGUUGCAGUUUUAUAUGAUGUCAGUUUUCUAAAUUGAUUAAGAAAUUUCUCAAGUUAAUCAACAUAAAGACGCUGCCUGCACCCCUUUCUUGAAAUUAAGGAUGCAGACACUCAGGGCGUGUGUCUUGCACAGCCAGCCAGCCUGGGAAAAUGAAGCCAACUGGGAGAGAGAUUUGAAGGACUCUGGUUCUAGGCAUGCGCACUUCUCCAGGGCAAAGAAGGCUUUAUUUAAACACCCCUAUCUGGUGACUUAGUCCAUUUUCUUUUCAUCUGAUGAUAACAUCUGGCAGCACCCUCAGUUCCCAAGCUCUACAGUCUCAUGUACCUUAUGACGACAAGAUGUCCUUGAAACUUUCUCCAGUUGACUCAGCCACACUGGUUGGAGCUCUCUUGCACAUACUCAGAGGAACGCACACUUCUCCAUUCAAACGACUGCAUCAGGAAGUUAGAAGCAUAACUUUGACUCAGUCGAGGCUUUUCUAGCCACGUAUUUCACAUACGCGAGCUGUCAGACCUCGGAUGAGGGUCUUUACGCAGCUUCAAGAUGCCGCAGAUGGUGAUUUGUUCUUCAGCCAUGAUCACUGGGGCCUGGAUCAUGCUUUUUACAAGUGACUGUACUCGCUACUUUUUUGUUUUGUUUUGUUUGAGAUAGGAUCUUGCUCUGUCAUCCAGGCUGGAGUGCAGUGGUGCGAUCAUGGCUCACUGCAGCCUCAACCCCCUGGGCUCAAGC